AUGGCCACGCAAGAGCAGCCGUCGCCGGGCGCCGGCGCCGCCCGGCCUCGGAGGCCCCGCGUCCUGGUCGCCGCCUCCGGCAGCGUGGCGGCGAUCAAGUUCGAGAUCCUCUGCCGGAGCCUCGCCGAGUGGGCCGACGUCCGGGCGGUGGCGACGGCCUCGUCCCUGCACUUCAUCGACAGGGAGUCCUUCCCGAGCGGCGUCGCCCUCCUCACCGACGCCGACGAGUGGUCCACCUGGCGGAGGAUCGGCGACGAGGUCCUGCACAUCGAGCUGCGCAAGUGGGCCGACGCCAUGCUCAUCGCGCCGCUCUCGGCCAACACCCUGGCCAAGAUCGCCGGCGGGCUGUGCGACAACCUCCUGACGUGCGUGGUGCGCGCGUGGGACUACAGCAAGCCCAUCUACGUCGCGCGGGCCAUGAACACCUUCAUGUGGGACAACCCCUUCACUAGGCGACACCUUGACGUCGUCGCCGGCCUCGGCGUCUCCCUCAUCCCUCCGGUGACCAAGCGGCUCGCCUGCGGGGACUACGGCAACGGCGCCAUGGCAGAGCCCGCCGAGAUCUGCAGGACCCUCAGGCUCUUCUUCGGCUCACAAGUUCCACUCUGA
rnacentral:rRNA from 1 species